UACGGAGGGUGCAAGCGUUGCUCGGAAUCACUGGGCGUAAAGCGACCGCAGGCGGCCUGACAAGUCGGAUGUGAAAGCCCUGGGCUCAACUCAGGAAUUGCAUUCGAAACUGGCAGGCUCGAGUACGGGAGAGGGGGGUGGAAUUCCUGGUGUAGGGGUGAAAUUCGUUGAUAUCAGGAGGAACACCGGCGGCGAAGGCGCCCUCCUGGCCCGCAACUGACGCUCAUGGUCGAAAGCGUGGGGAGCAAACAGG
rnacentral:rRNA from 1 species